CGGACGGGUGAGUAACGCGUGAGAACCUACCUUCAGAAUGGGGACAACAGUUGGAAACGACUGCUAAUACCCAAUGUGCCGAGAGGUGAAAGAUUUAUCGUCUGAAGAUGGGCUCGCGUCUGAUUAGCUAGAUGGUGAGGUAAAGGCUCACCAUGGCAACGAUCAGUAGCUGGUCUGAGAGGAUGAGCAGCCACACUGGGACUGAGACACGGCCCAGACUCCUACGGGAGGCAGCAGUGGGGAAUUUUCCGCAAUGGGCGAAAGCCUGACGGAGCAAUACCGCGUGAGGGAGGAAGGUCUUUGGAUUGUAAACCUCUUUUAUUAGGGAAGAAGUUCUGACGGUACCUAAUGAAUAAGCAUCGGCUAACUCCGUGCCAGCAGCCGCGGUAAUACGGAGGAUGCAAGCGUUAUCCGGAAUUAUUGGGCGUAAAGCGUCCGUAGGUGGUCUUUCAAGUCUGCUGUUAAAGCAUGGGGCUUAACCCCAUAAAGGCGGUGGAAACUGAAAGACUAGAGUACAGUAGGGGUAGCAGGAAUUCCCAGUGUAGCGGUGAAAUGCGUAGAUAUUGGGAAGAACAUCGGUGGCGAAAGCGUGCUACUGGGCUGAAACUGACACUGAGGGACGAAAGCUAGGGUAGCGAAAGGGAUUAGAUACCCCUGUAGUC
rnacentral:rRNA from 1 species